UACUUUCCUUUUCCCUCUCUUCCCGUUCUAUUCUCUAGACCUAAACCCAAAGCUCUCAUUUUUUUCAUCUAAUCUAAAAACCCUGUCUCUAACCCGGUCUCCUCACUCACUCUUCCCCGAUCCCUCUCCUUCUCUCUCUCUCUCCUGCUCCCUCAACUACGACGGCGAGGGGAUAGAAGAGGCUUCAACCACAGUGGAGGUUGACGGGGCUGACAGAGGCUCAGCGGGACUGCCGGAGGCUCGACGACGUGGACUCGCUCUCUCACCUGUCUUUAUGGAGCUCGACCUUCCCUAGCAUCGGCAAACGGCGCAAAUGACAGGGGCUCGUGGGUCUUGUGAAAAUGACGGGCUCAGGGUCGUGGGUGGCUCGGUCUCACGGAGGGGGUGGGUGGCUCGGUCUUGAAAGUUACAGCUGGUUAUGGAGAGAAUGCAUCGCUCUCUGUAUCAUCAGGCAAUAAAGUCUUUUUUAAACAAGAAUUUCAUAUUGAGAAAAGAGAACUGAGAAUCGCAUCGAAGGUACCCGAGAUUCUUACUGCUGGUUCCAAACUAGAAAAUAUCAUUUUUGAAAUUGUCAACUGUGAGGGUAUUGUGGAUGGUACUAUCCACGAUGAAGAGAAAACUGGUCUGUCACAUAUGCUAACAAUAAAGGCUGAUUGGCUUAAUUUGGGAGAGUCUGUUCGGUAUACUUUCAAGCAUGGGCGCUGCAUUGUUCCUGCUAUUCCUUUAUCUCAAAUUGCAGGAAACUAUAGCUUCUUAGCUAUCCAUUCUCGCCAUUCAAACCUUAGUCUGAAUGUUGAGGUUCAUGUCAAACCUGCUAUACCAAAUCCAAAAGUGGAGCAUGAUGGAAAAAACUUCUCCACAGUCAUUGAAAAUAAUAAAAUGAUCUUUGAAGAGGACCUGUUAAAAAUUGGCUCUGUAGUCUGAAUAUUGGAAGAAAAAUGUGUCAAGCUAAAUGAAGAGAAGGAAAAAAUUGAGCAAACUAUGAAAAAAUUGCAAGGGGAAUUCCAUUCCAAGAGCCAGAAAAUCAUUUAAUGAAAGACACAAUAGGAGUGGUUGCUCGACCUCAUUGCAGCCAGCUGAGCAGGAUACUGUCAUAAUACUUGGGUGCAGAUCAAAUGCUUGAUGUUGUCGUUAGAUCUUUCAAAACUGUUGUUCUUCUAGAAAGUACAAAGUUGGAUCAUCUUAGAAUAUGAAGAUUUACUCAGAGGACUAAUAUUACUUAUUGUUUGGCAGUCCAUUCAAAGAUCUCUACAAAUUUUUAUUCUCCAAAUAUGAAUGUUGUCAAUGAGAACUUCCUCCCUCUGCUCAAAUGCCUUGAUGACUGCAUAUCAUAUUAAGACAGCUGUAAAAAAUAAAGUUCCUCUUGUACGGUCAUCAACUCUUAACUGGGUAACAUUCUAUAUUGAAACAAGUAACAAGGCUGUUAUUUUAAAGGUGCACAAGGACUAUGUGCCUAUCCUUAUGGAGUUGGGUAAGCGGGGUCUUGGAUCCAGAAGGCAGUGCAUUUGGAGAUGUUGUUACAUCAGUUAAAAGCUGGUCUGUGAUUUUUGCAUAAUAAAAGAAAGGGAAGACAUAAAGCAUAGUAAGAAGAAUAGCAUUAGAAAAGAAUUGAGUACCUAAAGGUAACACUCCUAUGUUCCAAGCUUCUCUAACUAUGGUUCGAGGUCCAGUAAUGGAUGAAGUACACCAACGGCUCAAUCCAUGGAUAUCUCAGAUUACUAGGGUAUUCAAGGAAAAGGAGCACGCUGAAGUUGAGUUUACUAUUGGACCUAUACCUGUGGAUGAUAGCAUAGGAAAAGAAAUCACUACUCAAAUUACAACAGCCUUAAAGACUAAUGGAACAUUCUACACAGAUUCUAACGGACGUGACUUCAUUAAGAGGGUAUUCUAAAUCUCUAAUACUUAAAUUUGAUAAGAGAUAUUUGAAUCACACACUGUGCUACUUUAUAUAUCAUUGUACAGUUAAAUAUAUGGAAGUUGAAGAUCUUUGCGGUUUAUUUUCAAGUCUUUAUUCCAUCUCAUGGAAGCAUACAUGAAGUUAUUAUCCUGUGUGCUUCUGUUUCUUGACGCAUUGAAACAUACGACUCAUAUAGAUAUGUUAUGGUAUUGAUUCAAUUUAUUCUCAAGCUGCAUUGAUCUUACCUCCAUUCCAUUUUACAGUUUUUAUAGUUAGCAUCAAUUAUUGAGCAUGUACUUAGUUUAACUGUUUCAAUUCAGUUUUUGAGAGGAAAUCCAAAAACAUAUGCUUUGUUUUUGUUUUUCUCAUGUUCAGCAUUCUCUAUGUAUUAUAUUUCUGACUGCUUUCUUGCCUUUUGUUAUUAUUUUUCAAAUUAAUCUUGGAAUAUACAUGCAAGACAGUAUCUCAGAACUGUCAGUGUUGGUUGACCGUUCAGUUGGGGGAUCCAGUUUAGUGGAUGGUCAGAUAGAGCUUAUGCUCCACAGAUUGAUGUAGGCAUUGGAUCUUCAUCAUUUGCAAAAUCACAGGGCCCGGAAUGACUCAUUGAUAGUGGAUGUUGGCCAGGGUCAAUAUAAGUCGACACUGGUUUGCCCAGCAUGUGGAAAGAUUUCAAUCACUUUUGAUCCCUUCAUGUAUUUGUCGUUGCCGCUACCUUCAACUGCAACUCGGCAAAUAACCGUGACUGUGUUUUACGGCGAUGGAAGUGGUCUUCCUAUGCUAUACACUGUUAGUUUGCUAAAGCAAGGUUGCUGUAAAGAUCUUAGUGAACAACUAAGUAAUGCUUGUUGCUUGUUGCUUGAAUUCUGAUGAGAUUCUUCUGCUUGCAGAGGUUUAUGAACAUAAGAUUUUUUGAUAUUUGGAAAACCCCUCAGAGCUAUUGGCUCCAAUUAAGGAGGAUGACCACUUAUAGACUUUCUAAAAACGUUGUGGGAAGAUCCACAAUUGAAAUAAUUCAUCGACCACAUGAAAAGUGCCCGUCAGACAGUGUUAAGGGUUGUCAGGGAAAGCUUAUCGGUACCCCUUUUGUUACUUAUUUAAAAGAGCCAAUAUGUGGAGCCAAUGUUGAAGCCGCUGUUACUAGAUUGUUGUCACCUUUGAAGAGAACGCGUCCUUCAGUUAAGCUCCAGAAUGGUAAGGAAAAUGGAUUUGAAAAAGAGGUUAUUGAAGAACCAUCAAAUAGCUACAAUUCUAAGAACCUGUCAAUGGAUGAUGCAGAAGUAGAGGAAAAAUCCAGCGAAGCGUUAUUUCUGUGUUAAAAGUAGUAAAUUUUAGAUUCCUAGAAUACUUAAAGAAUAUUUUGUUGUUGAUGACAGUGUUGCAUGUUUUAAACUAAAUUGUGGAUUGUUAAUUCAAUGUAGAAUGUUUUUA